rnacentral:rRNA from 1 species
AUUCGGAGGGUGCAAGCGUUACUCGGAAUUACUGGGCGUAAAGGACGCGUAGGCUGGUUUGCAAGUCAGGGGUGAAAGCCUACAGCUUAACUGUAGAACUGCUCUUGAAACUGCUUACCUAGAGUAUGGGAGAGGUGAAAGGAAUUAGUGGUGUAGGGGUAAAAUCCGUAGAGAUCACUAGGAAUACCGAUUGCGAAGGCGUUUCACUGGAACAUUACUGACGCUGAGGCGUGAAAGCGUGGGGAGCAAACAGGAUUAGAAACCCUAGUAGUCC